rnacentral:rRNA from 1 species
CUCAGGACGAACGCUGGCGGCGUGCCUUACGCAUGCAAGUCGAGCGGUCCACUUCGGUGGACAGCGGCAGACGGCUGAGUAACACGUAAGUAACCUGUCCUUCAGUGGGGGACAACCCCGCGAAAGCGGGGCUAAUACCGCAUGCGCUCCCGGAGGGAAGUGCUCCGGGAGGAAAGCCUUCGGGCGCUGAAGGAGGGGCUUGCGGCCUAUCAGGUAGUUGGCAGGGUAACGGCCUACCAAGCCUACGACGGGUAUCGGGACUGAGAGGUUGACCCGACGCAUCGGAACUGAGACACUGUCCGGACCUCCACGGAGGGCUGCAGUAACGAAUAUUGCACAAUGGGCGCAAGCCUGAUGCAGCAACGCCGCGUGUAGGAUGAAGCUCCUCGGAGUGUAAACUACUGUCAGGGGUCAGAAAGUGUACUUCGGUACAUUGAUCACCCCCAGAGGAAGUCACGGCUAACUUCGUGCCAGCAGCCGCGGUAAUACGAAGGUGGCGAGCGUUGUUCGGAAUUAUUGGGCUUAAAGAGCACGUAGGCGGAUCAGAAAGUGUCUUGUGAAAACCCCCGGCUUAACCGGGGAAUUGCUUGGCAAACUUCUAGAUCUUGAGUCAAGUAGGGGUACAUGGAACUCUUAGUGGAGCGGUGGAAUGCGUAGAUAUUAAGAGGAACGCCAAUGGUGAAGACAGUGUACUGGGCUUGUACUGACGCUGAGGUGCGAAAGCGUGGGGAGCGAACGGGAUUAGAUACCCCGGUAGUCCACGCUGUAAACGAUGUCUACUAGGUUGUGGUUGUUCUGACACAUUCACAGCCGAAGCAAAAGUGUUAAGUAGACCGCCUGGGGAGUACGGUCGCAAGGCUAAAACUCAAAGGAAUUGACGGGGGCUCACACAAGCGGUGGAGCAUGUGGAUUAAUUCGAAGCAACGCGCAGAACCUUACCUGGGUUUGACAUGUUUGGAUGCCUAUCUGGAAACAGUGAUGGCUGCCUUAGGGUGAAACUUACACAGGUGCUGCAUGGCUGUCGUCAGCUCGUGUCGUGAGAUGUCGGGUUAAGUCCCUUAACGAGCGAAACCCUUGUCCCUAGUUGCCAGCGAGUCAUGUCGGGGACUCUAGGGAGACUGCCGGUGUUAAACCGGAGGAAGGUGGGGAUGACGUCAAGUCCUCAUGGCCUUUAUGACCAGGGCUGCACACGUCCUACAAUGGCGCGCACAAAGGGAAGCGAACUCGCGAGACAAGCAAUCCCAAAAACGCGCCCAGUUCGGAUUGCAGGCUG